rnacentral:lncRNA from 1 species
CAUGGUCACUGUCUAAAAAGUUCAUAUAAGGAAAAUCCUCGAAAAAUAUGAUUCAGUUUGUUGUGCCAAACUUUGAAACAACACAGAGUUGCUGAGCAUCCUAGCAUUACUACUUGUUGAUGAUAGCUAAUGUAAGGGCACUUGCCGUCUUUGUAAUUUGUUUCCGUUCAGCGUGUAUCCGCUUGCAUAGGUCUGCAGCACAAAAAUUAGAGAUUGAAACUAUAUAAAUUCAGUGAAACGAAGUUAUUGAGCACAAAAAGAUAUUGCCUUUCAAAGCACAAAAAGAUGUUACCUUUCAAAUCGU